rnacentral:lncRNA from 1 species
GGGAAACAAAGCUAAAUCUUGGGGGAUCUGUAAGGCUGCCUUUCUGUUUUCCUGUCACUCUAUGUCCUUGGGUACCCUCAGUUGGUGGUUGGCUCCUUCCUGCUCUGGGAAUAAGGACAAGGAGCCCUCUAGUGGAAGAGUUCUGUGUCCUUACUUCCUGGACAUAGGCAUGAUGCUGACUGCUGCAUUCACCUGUCCAGUGCCCUGGCCUUUGCAUUUGAGCAGGUCUGGUCUCUGUCCUUCGAUGUCUCAGCCUUUAUCAGAGAGGAAGUUUCUCCUGUUGACUGUGAAGCCCUGCUAGGCAAGCAUUGCAUAGAGCCAGCCUCCUUGGCCUGAGAAGGGUGCUUCUGGAACCUGCAGCAUAAGGAACAGCAGCCUGACUUCCAGCCAGAAAGGGAGCACUUUGAGGUGAUUUUGCAUCCGUGGUCAGAAGACAUUUGGUGCCAUUUCAAGCCAUAUUUUGUUUUUAAUUUUUCAACCGUCUUAACUUGGGUAUACUGCCACCAAGUGGUGGAAUCUUCUCUAAGACAAUGCAUUUCUCUCUGCUUUUAUGUCUUUAAACUUCAUUUUAUUGUACUCUAGACACACAGAGAAAGGGGGAGGGAGAUAGAGAGUUGGGGGAGACAGAGACAAAAAGAGACAGAGACAGGGAAAUACAUACUUUGUGUAUUUGGAUCCCUGUGGCCACAUCUGUCAAUGUCCACAUAUACCCACCCCUUCAACCUACUACUGAGGAUACCUGCAGCUUUGCUGAAAAUUCCUUUUCAUGAAAUAGCAUCUCCAAAAUCACCAUGGCCAAUAACAUUCUUGAUAUUGAUUCCAUUCAAGCCUUUGCUCUUCAAUGUACAUAGUUUAACAAGUAAUAGAGUACAAUUACUUUUGUUUUAUUAUUGGGUUUCUUGUAUGGUAAAUAUACAUUGACUAUGAUAAAUAUAAAUUGAGUUCAUGGUGUUCAUGCAUUGGCUAUAAGUGUGACUAGCAAUCUCUAGCCAUUUUUUCUUUUCUUUCCUUUAUUUUUAGGGUGGUGAUUGAACUCAGCGCUUCACUACUGCUGGGCAGGCGCUCUGCCACUGGGCACUCCGCCAACUUGAUGACUAUUAUAGGGCACUACAGAACUGCUGUUUCAGAGUUCUUGUCCCUGACAUGGUCUUGUCAUUAGACCUUCUUGUUUAAGUUUGUCUUUUUCCUAUUUUGCUGCAUUCUCAAAAUAUUUACCAAGCAAACUCUUGACUGAAAUUUUAAUCGAUUUUAU